UCUUCUCCUUCUUCUUCUUCUUCAGCAACAGUCUCCAAAGACUUGCCUCCCCAGUAUGCGGAUGCAGCCGAAGGUUUUCUGGUUGACACGGGAAUCUCCGCCUCCUUCUCUGACAAGUACUAUUCUAAGGACUCGUAUUCUGAUCUCAUUCGCUCUCUGCUAAAGACUGAUCAGGUCCGACGUGGCCACGUCUCCUGCGUCUUCUCCGUCCCACCAGCCGUUACCAAUAUUUACAAUGGAUUAUUCGGAGGGGCUAUUGGAGCUAUAGCAGAAAGAGUGGCAAUUGCUUGUGCUAGAACUGUCGUGGCCCAGGAUAAGGAACUCUUUCCUGGUGAAUUGAGUAUGUCUUAUCUCUCAGCCGCACCUCAAACUGUGAGUUUUCAUGACUUCAUUUGGGUCUUAAUCAUGUGUAAAUAAUGAUUGUGAUCUAAUUUGCUGCGAACUUAGCUUCUCAGGAAGUUGUGGUUGUUGAUGGGUCUGUUGCGAGGAGUGGCAGAAACAUAACCGUAGUUGCAAUUGAGUUCAGAAUCAAGAAAAACAGGAAGCUGGUGUACACUGCUCGUGCUACCUUAUAUCACAUGCCCGUCGCCAAGUUAUGAAAUUUCAGUGGUUUGGUAAAUUGUAUCAUUUGCUCUGUGAUGGCUUCCCAGGACAUCCUGAUAUAAUCUAGUUGAUUCGAGUAAUGAAUUGUUAGUUUAUAUGAUUUAUAUAAAUAUUUACAUUGUGGUUAUGUAUGCAAAAUGCUGGUUCGUGAGGGGAUUUUCUUAUAAAAGAAACACUUUUUGAGAAGGGUUCCCUUGUUG
rnacentral:misc_RNA from 1 species